UACGUAGGUGACAAGCGUUGUCCGGAUUUACUGGGCGUAAAGAGCGCGCAGGCGGUCGAUCAAGUCGAGUGUGAAAGCCCCCGGCUCAACUGGGGAGGGUCAUUCGAUACUGAUCGACUUGAAGGCAGGAGAGGGUAGUGGAAUUCCCGGUGUAGUGGUGAAAUGCGUAGAUAUCGGGAGGAACACCAGUGGCGAAGGCGACUACCUGGCCUGUUCUUGACGCUGAGGCGCGAAAGCUAGGGGAGCAAACGGG
rnacentral:rRNA from 1 species